UUCUGCUAGAUGAUUACUGCCUGUCGUGGCUCCCAGCAAACACCCCUUUGAAGCUAACUUCUCUCCCUGAAACAGCUCUUUGUGAUAACCUCAUCCCAGUGCUUCAGGAUCUGAGCCAUGACAGAUGUGGGCUGCAUUUUCUCUGCGACAAGAGGAUCAGACAGCAGUAGCAAAUGAAACCUGGAGGAAUUGACCCCUUUUGCUUACCACUUUUGCAGUCCGAUGGCAGUAUCACUACAGAAAUGUCAGUCAGAAAUUAUUUUUCCACCCUGUCUUCUGUGAGUUUCUGCUUGGAAAUGGCUGGUUUAAUAUACCAGACACUCAAACCCAUUUCAGCCAAUGUAUGGAAAUGUCAUCCAUAAUAAGACUCCAUAGAGGUUUCAGAUCAAGCAUACUAGAGCAGCCAAAGUGGCAUUGAAAUUAGACUUCAAUUUUGCUGCUAAUAGCCCUGGAGGGAAUGAGAAACAAGAAGUGAAGAUGAUUUACUGAGAUUCACUGCUUCAGCAGCUAAACUUAAAUUGAUUUCCUUAAUGGAUUUCUGACAAUGUGAAGAUUAUUUCCUUCAACACAGAAUUUUUAUUUUAAGUCUACUUGUA